ACACCAGGGAGCGGAGCGGCGCGGACCGAGCACCCGAGGCGGCUGCUGCCUCCGCCGCCGCCUCCGCCGCCGCCGCCAGGGCUCCAGCUUCGGGCCCGCGCCCCCCCCAGUGCCCGCGAGCCCCCGGGCCGCGCCGCGAGCGCCUCCGGAGGGGGGGGGGAAGGGCCCGGUCCUCCUUCUCCCCCUCCUCCCGCCCCGCCGACCCCCGCCGCGCCCCGCCGGCCUCCCACCACGGCCUCUCUCGGCGAGGAAACUCUGGCCUCCGCUUCCUCCUCCUCCGACUCGGACGCCGGCGGAGCCUCCCCGCCCCCGCGGAAGAAGCCCCGAGCCUCGGCGGCGGAGGGAGCAGGAGAGCCCGGGGCCUCGGCCGGCCGAGCAGGCCUCCCCCCCGCGCCCUCGCCCUCGCCCGCCGCCUCCUCCUCCGUGGUGGUGGUGGUGGGACUGCCUCCGGCCGCCCCCGCCGUCCUCCAGCGGAGCAGCGGCCACAGCCUGGUCAGCGGCGGCACCAUGCAGGCCAACGGGGCGGGAGGAGGCGGCGGCGGGGGCGGCGGGGGCCAGGGCCAGACCCCGGAGCUCGCCUGCCUGUCGGCGCAGAACGGGGAGUCGUCCCCCUCGGCGGCGUCCGCGGGGGACCUGGCCCACGCCAACGGGCUCCUGCCUGCCGCCCCCUCCGCCGCUGGCAACAAUAGCAACAGCCUGAGUGUCAAUAACGGGGUUCCCGGCGGGGCCGCCGCGGCCUCCGCCACCGCCGCCGCCGCCCUGGCCACCCCCGAUCUGGGCAGCAGCCUCAAGAAGAAGAAGCGGCUCUCGCAGUCCGACGAGGAUGUCAUUAGGCUCAUAGGACAGCACCUCAAUGGCCUAGGGCUCAACCAGACUGUUGAUCUCCUCAUGCAAGAGUCAGGAUGUCGUUUAGAGCAUCCUUCUGCUACCAAAUUCCGAAAUCAUGUCAUGGAAGGAGACUGGGAUAAGGCAGAAAAUGACCUGAAUGAACUAAAGCCUUUAGUGCAUUCUCCUCAUGCUAUUGUGGUAAGAGGCGCACUUGAAAUCUCUCAAACGUUGUUGGGAAUAAUUGUGAGGAUGAAGUUUCUGCUGCUGCAGCAGAAGUACCUGGAGUACCUGGAGGAUGGCAAGGUCCUGGAGGCACUUCAAGUUCUACGCUGUGAGCUGACACCGCUGAAGUACAAUACAGAACGCAUCCAUGUUCUUAGUGGGUAUCUGAUGUGUAGCCAUGCAGAAGACCUACGGGCCAAAGCUGAAUGGGAAGGCAAGGGGACAGCUUCCCGGUCCAAACUCCUGGACAAGCUUCAGACCUAUUUACCGCCAUCAGUGAUGCUCCCCCCACGGCGUUUACAGGCCCUCCUGCGACAGGCGGUGGAGCUACAAAGGGACCGGUGCCUGUUCCACAAUACCAAACUGGACAGUAGCCUAGACUCCACGUCUCUGCUUACAGACCAUGUUUGUAGUAGGAGGCAGUUCCCCUGUUACACUCAGCAGAUACUUACAGAGCAUUGUAAUGAAGUGUGGUUCUGUAAAUUCUCUAAUGAUGGCACUAAACUAGCAACAGGAUCAAAGGAUACCACAGUUAUCAUAUGGCAAGUUGAUCCGGAUACACAUCUGCUAAAACUGCUUAAAACAUUAGAAGGACAUGCCUAUGGUGUCUCUUACAUUGCGUGGAGUCCAGAUGACAGCUACCUUGUUGCUUGUGGUCCAGAUGACUGCUCUGAGCUUUGGCUUUGGAAUGUACAAACGGGAGAAUUAAGAACAAAAAUGAGCCAAUCUCAUGAAGACAGUUUGACCAGUGUAGCCUGGAAUCCAGAUGGGAAACGUUUUGUGACGGGAGGUCAGCGUGGACAGUUUUAUCAGUGUGACCUGGAUGGAAAUCUUUUGGACUCCUGGGAGGGGGUGAGAGUGCAAUGCCUAUGGUGCUUGAGUGAUGGGAAGACUGUACUGGCUUCUGACACACACCAGAGAAUCCGGGGCUACAACUUCGAGGACCUUACAGAUAGAAACAUAGUCCAGGAAGAUCAUCCUAUUAUGUCAUUUACAAUUUCAAAAAAUGGCCGAUUAGCUUUGUUAAAUGUAGCAACUCAGGGAGUUCACUUAUGGGACUUGCAAGACAGAGUUUUAGUAAGGAAGUAUCAAGGUGUUACACAAGGGUUUUAUACAAUUCAUUCAUGUUUUGGAGGCCAUAAUGAAGACUUCAUCGCUAGUGGCAGUGAAGAUCACAAGGUUUACAUCUGGCACAAACGUAGCGAACUGCCAAUUGCAGAGCUGACAGGGCACACGCGCACAGUGAAUUGUGUUAGCUGGAACCCACAGAUUCCAUCCAUGAUGGCCAGUGCCUCAGAUGAUGGCACUGUUAGAAUAUGGGGACCAGCACCUUUUAUAGACCACCAGAAUAUUGAAGGGAAGGAACCAAAAUAUGGCAGACCUCGUUAACUUGUUGAAUGCUGCCAUUUCGGCAAGUCUAGGUCUGGAAGGUUUUUCCCACCACCUUGAUACUUGAAGAUGAAGAAAGGCAUAAAGCUAACAGAUGAGGACAAAUUCUUGAUUAAAUAUAAUAGUACUAGAGAGAAGUAAUAAAUUUUAUAGGAAUGCAGUAGCAUGGAUAGUUGAUGGCGAAUUUGGAGCAGACGACUUCUGUUUAACUUAAAAUUAGUCGUAUUUUAAUGGCUUGGGAUUUGGUGCAAACAAACAUGAUUGAUAGCUGGACAGACAUGCUCGUCAUGAAAAAAGAACCAUUUCUGAAGCCCGAUUGGGGCCAAACAUUUACACCUUGCUUCAUAGUAACCAGUUGAUGAAGCACGUCGUUAGAACGUUGUUGGACACCAUGUUGAAUUAUUCCCCAUCGGUUGUGAAGAACUGUGCUACAUUCAGGCUUACCCAUUGAACUCAGUAUAUAUAUUUUUUCCUCCUGCCUUUUGUCUGGUGGGAUACCAUUCUUGUUGCUCUUCUGUGUAAUGAAGUUCAAAUGCUUGUUUGGAAACUUUAUUUAACAGUUUAGAAGGCUUGAUAGGAAGAGUUCAUUAGUCUGAAGAGUAUACAUUGGACAGGAAAGAAUUUUCUUUUGUUUCUCCAAAUCUUUCCGCCUUAUUUAGCUUGAGAUCUUUGCAGCUUGGUUCAUGGAUUCUAGCCUUGCCCGUUGCGCAGUAUAUACUGAUCAGAUGAUAAACCAGUGAACUAUGUCAAAAGCACUCUCAAUAUUACAUUUGACAAAAAGUUUUGUACUUUUCACAAAGCUUGUUGCCCCGUAAAAGGGUUAACAGCACAAUUUUUUAAAAAUAAAUUAAGAAGUAUUUAUAGGAUUAAAGUGACUUCAUUUGUAUACACUUGGAAUCUAAACCAGCUUGGAAAACAGCUUCCUCUGUGACUCAGAUACGCAGUGUAAUGAUGCUCUUGUGGAGUGCCACCAGAGACACGGCAUGGCCAGACAGUGCUCACAAGGACGUGGCACAGGAAAGCCAGAGAGAUACUUUGAAGGUUCCCUUUUUUAUUUUAUUCCCGAAGGAACAUCAGUAGCUGAUAUUGAAGAAGUACAUCAGCCGUCAGUCCAGGUUUUCAAGAAAGCUUGUUCCAAGUUCUUUUGGACUUGGGAGUCAUUUUGGUGUGAUCUAGCAAAAUUAGCAAUCAGAAGAGAGACCACUUGGGGAUUUAUAGUGUAGUUGAAUCUUAGAAGAAUUCAGAAGGCUACAAACAUAUAUGUAAACUGGAAUUAAAAACCUGAGUCAUUUUUCCUAAUUGCCCUUGAUGUCCAACAUAAAGGGAUACUUGGAUUAAAGAAGAUUCCUUCUCAGAUGUUGCCAUACUGAACCUCAUUCAAACUGGUGCUGUGGACAGUCUUUCCCUCCCCUCUUAGUUAAAGGGAUUGUUUCCUUUAUGGGGGAAAAAAAGUCUUCUCGUUUUGAAGACUUUACAUCUAACGUAAGCCUGAUGUUCGCCGUGUAUCUUACAUACGCCCCAUAACUGGGUCUUAACUGCUGGGUCCAACAGUCUCCCUUGAAAUUCCCUGUUUUUCAAUAGAGGACAAUCAGGGUGACCACAGCUAUUGGAAAAAGAUGUGGGAUUUCUCCCAACAUAAGAUCUUGGUGAAGAAAAAUAAUUUGUAACCUACUUGUCCUUGAGGCCAAGCUAAGUCCAUAGCAUUCUCACCAUGAUCAUCCCCCUUCAGAACCCUAAAAUAAGUGAGAGGCUUGUGUUGAGGAAUCUUUCCAUUCUUGGGGGGAGGGGGCCAUAGGGAGUGAAAAGUCAAGAAAAGGGAGAAAACACAUUUGGCCUUAAGAUAGUGUUCAUUCUCCCAAAGCUCAUAGUAAGGAAAUGACAGGUCAUAGCAGAUUUUUUAAUCAAGUUGGUAUGUAAAAGAUUCCUUUAAGCUUCAUUUUGCAGAGACCACCACUUUAGAAAAGCAAAGAAAUCCUGUUUUGAUACUUCUCUAAGUUAAAAUAAUAUGUUACCGUUUACCUGGUACUUUAUUUUCUUGACUAAAAUUACUUUCAUUUUAAGCUUGAAUAAAAAUUUUCAUUCAUAACUGUAUAUAAUUAAGUGGCAACUCCUCUUUACCUCAGUGCAGUUAAAACCUAUUUUGAUAGACCCUGAAGCCAUUAAUACAUACAACCCAGUCUCUACAGUAACAAUCACUAACAAAAUGUGGGCAUAGAACUCCACAGCUGUAUACAGAUGUGGUUACAUUGUACUACAUGGCAUGUUAACACUCUCAUAAAUUGUGCCCAUCAGGGCAAUUUGGCACUCACAAUCUGCUAGUGCACCCAGUCGCACCUAGAUCUGAGUUUUCACAGUGCUUCUGAAGUAGUUAAAAACACUUGGAAGUAAAACUGCACUGAAAGUGAAGGACAUUUUACAAGAACUUAACUCCUGUUAAAGUGGAGUUACAACUAUGCAAAGGUGUUCGUAGCAGCUAGGGGAGUUUGGUUUCCAGGCCUGUCAAAUUGACAGCUUCCUGUAUAUACUGGUACUUCAAUGUGCCAACUUGCUGUGAGCGUCUGUUUCAUAUAUUUGCCAUGAAGUGAUUGUGGUAGAAAGGUGGGAAAGAUGGUGAAGAAAUCUAGAGUUUAUGAUGGAAGAACCUGGUGGCAGGAUUUUUCUAACCCGUAGCUACUAAGUAAAAAUCUCUGACAAUGUGAUAAACUACAUAAAGGCUUAGAAAAUUCAAGCCAACCACAAGAUACUAAACAAUGUAUAAACUGAAAAGUACCAAUACUUUUUGCACAUAGAUCAAAAUAGUGGAGAAUUUUGGCUCCAAAAAUCAGGUUAGUAGGCUCAAUUCCAUGUGCUUAAAAUGUCUGUUGUUAAUGCAUUGAUUAAGGGCUAGAGCAAGAAUGAAAUUAAAUGUCUUUUUCCUCUAACUGGUUUUUAGUGGUAAAGUGUUGGAUUUGGGGAUCACUGAGGUUGGUUUGUGGGUGGUGAUGAAAAGAAUUAGAGUGGGCAUUAGUUGGGGAAAAUGAGAAAACUUCAUAUUUGGGUAUAUUCUAUUAGUAUUCAUGCCGGCUGUACUUUCUUGCUCUUCCUGGCCAGGUAAAUGUGUUCUAGUAACCCAGGUAAGUAGUUAAAACAGGGAAUUUUAUUUGCAAAUGUCCCCAUAAAUUGUCCCGUUUUAUUGGGUGGGAGAAGAAAAAGGGAAUUCUCUGACUAUAAGAAAUUAAAGUAUCAAAGAGCAAUCUUGUCACUGAUUCCUUAGAGAAAACAUAAGCAGUAAUUCUGCAAGAGUAGUUGAUUAGGAAUGCUCUGCCUCGACUGGCAUUCUGUGGCAUUAAUAGAAAAUUCUUCUUUCCCACCCCUCCCCAUCUCGAAAUUUUCUUUUUUAGGAUGUUGGUUCCUGCAAACAAGAACUGACUCUCUGCCUCCCAGUGGGUAAAUGUAUCGUACAUCUCUUGAAAGGGUACAUACUUUACAGCAGAAGAAUGGGGAGGGAAAAAAAAGAAUUGUCUUUUAUCUUUUGUGUCCCAUUUUUUAAAAUAUAUUCUUACCUAGCAAUUUUAUUUUAAUGUCUCACUUAGACUUAAGCAACUCUUCCUUUGUGUUGCUGGCCAAAGCAUUACCCCCAUUUCCAGAACCAUACCAGAUCGCUUCAGUUGCUAACUUAAAGAGUGAACUUGCAUUUUACACUUAGACACUUUGUAAAAGCAGGGUGGACUUAAUCUAAACUUUACAGUGUUGAGCUAUUGUUACAGUAGCUGCCCUAGAGUUGCAGAAACAAGCUGUACAAACCCAUCCCUGUCUACUUACCCAGACAGCCUGGAGUUAAUGAAGUUAAUAAAAAUUGUGUGCGUGUGUGUUUGAGAAAGAAAACUUGAUUCAUAAACACUCUAGAAAGAACCCCGAGGUCAUCGUUUGUACGGAAAGUCUCAUGCCCUCCCUUGAGUUUAAGGUUUGGUCAAUACUUGUCUAUUUUUAUAAGAGUGAAAUUGUGCCCCAUCUUUAACCUAAGACAUUUACAUUAUCAGGAUCAAUAUGCUAGAAUUAAAUCAUAACAUUUUUAGGCUCAGAAGGAGGAAAUGUUAAUUGGCUCUUUGAAAGUGUGUUUGUGUGCGCGCUCGCUCGCACUUGCCUGCCUGCCUGUGUGUAUGCUUGUGUGUGUGUGUGUGUGUGUGUGUGUAUGUUUUGAGGGGACUAGAUCACAAAAGCAUGUAUGUGCUUACAAACCAAGCUGUAGAGAUCAUGUAAAGAACUUGGAUGUUAUUCUGGAGAUUUCUGAGCUAUGGAAAAGUAAUAUGGCAUUGUGGUGCGAUGUGGCUAACAGAGCUGUUGGUAUGGAGAAACAGUUAACUGUGGACUGCUAUAAGAUGUUUCCAGAGGACUGUGUUCUUAAACUUUGGGGUUUGCUUUUUUAACUGCCUCUCAGAUUAUAUUUAGUAGUUUAAAUUUCUUUGUUUUAUUAUUUCAUUAAAGUAUAAGAACUUCAGGUCUCGUAUUUAUUUUCACUUGUUCUACUAAUUAUUUACAAGACACCUUUUGGUUGACAUUUAUUUUAUAAAUGUGUGGUAUAUUAAAUGUCUUUAAUUUUUUUGUUUGAUUGAGAUUACAGUAACUUUGAUUUGCUUUACUGGGAUUUUUAAAUUUUAUUUUAAUUACACCUUUUCCAUGUCAGUGCACAGCACUUGCCCAGUCCUUUGUAUUCCCUUCUCUCAAUUCAAUAAACAGAAUGAGUAAUUAAGUAA